rnacentral:misc_RNA from 1 species
UAGAGAAAAGCAUCUUAUUUAGAUGAAAAGAAAGAAAUUAGUCCUUAUAUUUUUAAGUUAAAAAAGUGGUUAGUGGUUAGUAAUUAGUAGUUAGUGAAUUCGUAUAUAAUACGAACCACUAAAAACUAUCAACUAUCAAUCAACAACUAAAUUCAAAUUGCUGUCUUAUGAUUAUGUUAUAUAAUAUUGAGAUUUAGGUUUUUAAAAGGAUCUAGAGAUAAGUGAGAGUCUCAUAGCUCAGCUGGUUAGAGCGCUACACUGAUAAUGUAGAGGUCGGCAGUUCGAGUCUGCCUGAGACUACUUUUUAAAUUCGGAGUUUAGAAUUCAUAAUUCUGAAUUAAAGAAAACGUUCAUUAGAAAUAAAAAAGGAAAUUUUAGAGGUUGAGUGUAGCCGUUAUAAGUACUGUUAACUGAUAACUGUUAGCUGAUAACUGAAAAGACGGGGGAUUAGCUCAGCUGGCUAGAGCGCCUGCCUUGCACGCAGGAGGUCAUCGGUUCGACUCCGAUAUUCUCCACCGGGCAAUGCCCGGAGAUAGUAAUUUAUCUCUGGCGUAUUGCAUGUGAGUGCAUAGAUAAUUUAAUUGUCUAUCGCGACUCGCGAUGUUCAUUGACAUAUUGGGACAAAGUGAAUUACAAUUAUCUUCAGGGAUAUUGUAAUCACAAAGAAACACAAAAAAUAAAAUAAGAGUAAAGUACGAUAGAUUUGCUAUUAUAUUGAUAUAGUAGUAUUUAUUUAAGAUUAGAAUUAAAAGGACUAGU